UACGUAGGGGGCAAGCGUUGUCCGGAUUUAUUGGGCGUAAAGAGCGUGUAGGCGGCCAGGCAGGUCCGCUGUGAAAACUCGAGGCUCAACCUCGAGAGGUCGGUGGAAACCGUCUGGCUAGAGUCCGGAAGAGGAGAGUGGAAUUCCCGGUGUAGCGGUGAAAUGCGCAGAUAUCGGGAAGAACACCCGUGGCGAAGGCGGCUCUCUGGGACGGUACUGACGCUGAGACGCGAAAGCGUGGGGAGCGAACAGG
rnacentral:rRNA from 1 species